ensembl:miRNA
UAGGUAGUUUCAAGUUGUUGGGCUGGACGCGUAUCACAGGAACCUGAAACUACCUGAA